AUUGAACGCUGGCGGCAUGCCUUACACAUGCAAGUCGAACGGCAGCGCGGGAGCAAUCCUGGCGGCGAGUGGCGAACGGGUGAGUAAUAUAUCGGAACGUGCCCAGUAGUGGGGGAUAGCCCGGCGAAAGCCGGAUUAAUACCGCAUACGACCUACGGGUGAAAGGGGGGGAUCGCAAGACCUCUCGCUAUUGGAGCGGCCGAUAUCAGAUUAGGUAGUUGGUGGGGUAAAGGCCUACCAAGCCUGCGAUCUGUAGUUGGUCUGAGAGGACGUCCAGCCAAACUGGGACUGAGAAACGGCCCAGACUCCUACGGGAGGCAGCAGUGGGGAAUUUUGGACAAUGGGCGCGAGCCUGAUCCAGCAAUGCCGCGUGCAGGAAGAAGGCCUUCGGGUUGUGAACGGCUUUUGUCAGGGAAGAAAUCCUCUAGGCUAAUACCUUGGGGGGAUGACGGUACCUGAAGAAUAAGCACCGGCUAACUACGUGCCAGCCGCCGCAGUAAAAC
rnacentral:rRNA from 1 species